AUUGAACGCUGGCGGCAGGCUUAACACAUGCAAGUCGAGCGAGCGGCGGACGGGUGAGUAAUGUCUGGGCAACUGCCUGAUGGAUGGGGAUAACUACUGGAAACAGUAGCUAAUACCGCAUACCAUCAGAUGUUCCCAGAUGGGCUUAGCUAGUAGGUGGGGUAAUGGCUCACCUAGGCGACGAUCCCUAGCUGGUCUGAGAGGAUGCACAGUCAAACUGGAAAUGAGACACGGUCCAGAGUCCUACGGGAGGCAGCAGGGGGGAAUAUUGUACAAUGGGCGCAAGCCUGAUGUAGCCAUGCCGCGUGUGUGACGAAGGCCUUCGGGUUGUAAAGCACUUUCAGCGAGGAGGCGUUACUCGAAGAAGAAGCACCGGCUAACUCCGUGCCAGCCGCCGCGGUAAUUC
rnacentral:rRNA from 1 species